rnacentral:lncRNA from 1 species
AGAAAAUCAACCAACGGUAAAGUCGACAAGUAAAAAGGUGACAACAACAAUUACUGUUUCCACUACACCUGCAAUUUCACCAUCUCAAAUUAGCUCUGAAGGCAAGUGAUGUUUUUGUCUAAUUAUACUUAAAAAUUCAUAAACCGUGUGGCAAAUCAUGUCAGCCAUAAUAUGUCACAUGUUUAGUUUAGUUAGUUUAAUUAAUUCGCCAGUAAAUUACAAUGACAUAUACAGGGUG